rnacentral:rRNA from 1 species
CCUACGGGUGGCUGCAGUGAGGAAUAUUGGUCAAUGGACGAGAGGCUGAACCAGCCAAGUAGCGUGAAGGAUGACUGCCCUAUGGGUUGUAAACUUCUUUUAUAUGGGAAUAAAACAGGGUAUGCAUACCCUCUUGUAUGUACCAUAUGAAUAAGGACCGGCUAACUCGGUGCCAGCAGCCGCGGUAAUACGGAGAUGCCGAGCUUUAUCCGGAUUUAUUGGGUUUAAGGGGAGCGUAGGUGGGUUGUAAGGUAAGUUGUGAAAGUUUGCGGCUCACCCGUAAAAUUGCAGUUGAAACUGGCAGUCUUGAGUACAGUAGAGGUGGGCGGAAUUCGUGGUGUAGCGGUGAAAUGCUUAGAUAUCACGAAGAACUCCGAUUGCGAAGGCAGCUCACUAGACUGCAACUGACACUGAUGCACGAAAGUGUGGGUAUCAAACAGGAUUAGAUACCCCUGUAGUC